ensembl:lncRNA
AUAUAUAUAUAUAUAUAUAUAUAUAUUAUAUCAAUUAUAUGAAUAUAAAUAUAUACAUGGAAAUACGUGGAAAUAUUUUCUAAAUAUGUACUGUAUGUGUGUGUAUUUAUAUAUAAAUAAUAAAUACACACAGUACACACACAUAUAUUAUGUAAACAAAAACUUUUAUUUUGGAUGCAAUUAAUCACAAUUAAUCGUUUGACAGCACUAAUAAAUUUAUAAUAAAAUUUACUCACACAUUUUUUUAUUAUUAUUAUUUUUUUUUUUAUAUAUAUAUAUAUAGACUUGUUUAAUUAUUUUAAAACAUUUUAAAAACUGUUGGUUGAUAAAUUGUUUUUUGGCCAGCGUGGUCCAACCUAGUUACUGUUAUUGGUAAAAUACACUAUCAGUAAACCUCUAAUAUUCAGUAUACGUUGAAAAUGUAUGGGUUGCAAAGAAGUUCAAAUAAGAGAGUUUUGAUUCAUGUUUUUGUGGUUACUUCCAUUUGUGUUCUAAACCUUGUAUUUACAAUAUAUUAUUUUAUUUCAUGAGGUAUAUUCAUGUGAAAAAUUAAAUCAUAAAUCUUGUUGGAGGGGGCACAUGUUUGAUAUCCUCAGGCAGUUUUCUGUUUGAACCAACAACAUGACCCUUAUUAAGAACGCUUGCUGCAGCUGUGCAUGUGUUUGAUUGUUAUGCAUGCUGGUCACAUCCUCUCUGAUUCAGAUGACACGACAUUUAAUAAGCGCACAUGGUCACACAAUAUCUCAUUUCUCUAUAGCUGCAUCUUAGUGCAGCUUGAUUAAAUCAUUUUAUGGCAUUUCAGAGCUAUAUAGCUUAAACAUGAGACUGAACUGAAUAUUUAAUUUCCGUGCAUGUUUGCAUGGAGAUGAUUUCAAUGUUCUGUAUCUGACAGCUGACAGUUAGUUGGCAUCUCUAAGAACAUGUGCUGGUGGCAGCAUCCCCCCAGCCCCCACCACACACACAAACAGAAGAAACUGUCAUAUUGCCUUUCAGUGCUCACAAUGAGAACUUUUAUAGAUGAUAGCUGCGAGCCGAGACAACUCGGCUUGUCCUCACUGGAGGCUCUAUCUCUGCUGCACACUCAGCUGUUGUCUGUCCUACAACAACACAGAGAGAGCUGUAUAAAAGAUGGCAACUGGAAGGCAAGUGGGCUUGCGUGCAAUUUGUAAUGCAUGUAUGUGUUUAAAAAUAAAGGCUCCAAAAGACGUUUUACA